AAGGUGUUAGUUUAAUUAAAAUAUUAUAAUUUGAGUGUAAAGAUAGAUAUACCUUA
rnacentral:tRNA from 1 species